rnacentral:RNase_P_RNA from 1 species
CGUGCAGGUUGUCUUAUCGCCUUGGUGCAAAACAUCGGGGAGGAAAGUCCGGGCAACUUCAGGAAUCGUACCCUGAGAAUAUCGGGGGUGCUGCCGGUAAACGUCAGUAACAGAAAGUGCCACAGAAAAAUGUAGCCCUGACAUGCGCAAGUAUGUCGGUGGUGAUAGUGAAAAGGCGGGGUAAGAGCCCACCGUACCUGGGGUAACCUCGGGUAGCCAGGCAAACCUUACGAGUUGAAAGAUCAAAUAAGCCCCGAUCAGAAACCUGAUUCGAUCCUGACAAAACCGUCAGGAUGUCGGGGUGGGUAGAUCGAUUGAUCCCGACUUGUCGGGACCAGAUAAAUGAUAGGAACCUGACUUUAUCGUCAGGGUACAGAACCCGGCUUACAGACCUGCACUUUUU